rnacentral:rRNA from 1 species
UACGUAGGGUGCGAGCGUUGUCCGGAAUUAUUGGGCGUAAAGAGCUCGUAGGCGGUGUGUCGCGUCGGCCGUGAAAACCUGCAGCUUAACUGUGGGCUUGCGGUCGAUACGGGCAUCACUUGAGUUCGGCAGGGGAGACUGGAAUUUACGGUGUAGCAGUGAAAUGCGUAGAGAUCGUAAGGAAGACCGGUGGCGAAGGCGGCUCUCUGGACCGAUACUGACGCUGAGGCGCGAAAGCGUGGGGAGCAAACAGG